GAAAAAGGUGCCUGGUGGUCCUCUCGGUCUUCAAAACCGUUGUCAGUCUGUUGAUCAGGCGGAGGUAGGUUCGAUUCCUACUCUCUC
rnacentral:tRNA from 1 species